rnacentral:misc_RNA from 1 species
AAAUGCGAUAAUUAAUGUGAAUUGCAGAAUUCAGUGAAUCAUCGAGUCUUUAAACGCACAUUGCGCCCCCUGGUAUUCCGGGGGGCAUGCCUGUCCGAGCGUCAUUGCUGCCCUCAAGCACGGCUUGUGUGUUGGGCUUCCGUCCCUGGCAACGGGGACGGGCCCAAAAGGCAGUGGCGGCACCAUGUCUGGUCCUCGAGCGUAUGGGGCUUUGUCACCCGCUCCCGUAGGUCCAGCUGGCAGCUAGCCUCGCAACCAAUCUUUUUAACCAGGUUGACCUCGGAUCAGGUAGGGAUACCCGCUGAACUUAAGC